rnacentral:rRNA from 1 species
GACGAACGCUGGCGGCGUGCCUAAUACAUGCGAGUUGAGCGCUGAAGGUUGGUACUUGUACCAACUGGAUGAGCAGCGAACGGGUGAGUAACGCGUGGGGAAUCUGCCUUUGAGCGGGGGACAACAUUUGGAAACGAAUGCUAAUACCGCAUAAAAACUUUAAACACAAGUUUUAAGUUUGAAAGAUGCAAUUGCAUCACUCAAAGAUGAUCCCGCGUUGUAUUAGCUAGUUGGUGAGGUAAAGGCUCACCAAGGUGAUGAUACAUAGCCGACCUGAGAGGGUGAUCGGCCACAUUGGGACUGAGACACGGCCCAAACUCCUACGGGAGGCAGCAGUAGGGAAUCUUCGGCAAUGGACGAAAGUCUGACCGAGCAACGCCGCGUGAGUGAAGAAGGUUUUCGGAUCGUAAAACUCUGUUGGUAGAGAAGAACGUUGGUGAGAGUGGAAAGCUCAUCAAGUGACGGUAACUACCCAGAAAGGGACGGCUAACUACGUG